GCCGCCGUAGCUCGUCGGGUCGAGCACCGUCCCGGUACGACGGAGGUAGCCAGUUCGAGUCUGGCCGGCGGCU
rnacentral:tRNA from 1 species